rnacentral:rRNA from 1 species
AUUGAACGCUGGCGGCAGGCCUAACACAUGCAAGUCGAACGAGUGGCGGACGGGUGAGUAAUGUAUGGGCAACUGCCCGAUGGAGGGGGAUAACUACUGGAAACGGUAGCUAAUACCGCAUACCAUCGGAUGUGCCCAGAUGGGAUUAGCUUGUUGGUGGGGUAACGGCUCACCAAGGCGACGAUCCCUAGCUGGUCUGAGAGGAUGACCAGCCACACUGGAACUGAGACACGGUCCAGAAUCCGAGGGGAGGCAGCGGUGGGGAAUAUUGCACAAUGGGCGCAAUCCUGAUGCAGCCAUGCCGAGUGUAUGAAGAAGGCCUUCUGGUUGUAAAGUACUUUCAGCGGGGAGGCGUUACCCGCAGAAGAAGCACCGGCUAACUCCGUGCCAGCAGCCGCGGUAAUUC